GGGGAUGUAGCUUAGUGGUAGAGUACUUGCCUAGCAUGCAAGAAACCCUGGGUUCUAUUCCUCAGUCCCA
rnacentral:tRNA from 1 species